CGUGUAGGCGGGUAAUCAAGUCAGGUGUGAAAUCCCUGGGCUCAACCCCAGGAACUGCACUUGAAACUGGUUGCCUUGAGUGUUGGAGAGGGAAGCGGAAUUCCUGGUGUAGAGGUGAAAUUCGUAGAUAUCAGGAGGAACACCGGUGGCGAAGGCGGCUUCCUGGACAAUUACUGACGCUGAGACGCGAAAGCGUGGGGAGCAAACA
rnacentral:rRNA from 1 species